GACGGAGGGUGCAAGCGUUGCUCGGACUCACUGGGCGUAAAGAGCACGUAGGCGGCUUUGUAAGUCUGAUGUGAAGGCCCACGACUCAAUCGUGGAAGUGCAUUGGAUACUGCAUAGCUAGAGUGCAGGAGGGGUAAGCGGAAUUCCAGGUGUAGAGGUGAAAUUCGUAGAUAUCUGGAGGAACAACGGUGGCGAAGGCGGCUUACUGGACUGUUACUGACGCUGAGGUGCGAAAGUGUGGGGAGCGAACAGG
rnacentral:rRNA from 1 species